rnacentral:rRNA from 1 species
GACGAACGCUGGCGGCGUGCCUAAUACAUGCAAGUCGAACGCAGUUGGGACGGGUGAGUAACACGUGGGUAACCUCCCAUCAGAGGGGAUAACACUUGGAAACAGGUGCUAAACCGAUACUGAUGGAUGGACCCGCGGUGCAUUAGCGAGUUGGUGAGGUAACGGCUCACCAGGGCCACGAUGCAUAGCCGACCUGAGAGGGUGAGAGGCGACACUGGGACUGAGACACGGCCCAGACUCCUACGGGAGGACGCAGUAGGGAAUCGUCGGAAAUGGACGAAAGUCUGACCGAGCGACGCAGCGGGAGUGAAGAAGGUUUUCGGGUCGUAAAACUGUGUUGUUAGAGAAGCGGUAUCUAACCAGAAAGCCACGGCUAACUACGUGCCAGCAGCCGCGGUAAUUC